AAUAUUGGACAAUGGGCGAAAGCCUGCUCCAGCCAUGCCGCGUGUGUGAAGAAGGUCUUCGGAUUGUAAAGCACUUUAAGUUGGGAGGAAGGGCUUUAGGUUAAUACCCUGAAGUUUUGACGUUACCAACAGAAUAAGCACCGGCUAACUCUGUGCCAGCAGCCGCGGUAAUUCAGAGGGUGCAAGCGUUAAUCGGAAUUACUGGGCGUAAAGCGCGCGUAGGUGGUUUGUUAAGUUGGAAGUGAAAGCCCCGGGCUCAACCUGGGAACGGCUUUCAAAACUGGCAAGCUAGAGUAUGGCAGAGGGUGGUGGAAUUUCCUGUGUAGCGGUGAAAUGCGUAGAUAUAGGAAGGAACACCAGUGGCGAAGGCGGCUUUCUGGACUGUAACUGACACUGAGGCAUGAAAGCGUGGGUAGCAAACAGG
rnacentral:rRNA from 1 species